ensembl:lncRNA
GAGCUGUCUAGGCUAGUCCCUGAAACCUGACCCACUCCCAGGACUCAGCAUUAAUCAAUUCAUGAGGGUGGAGCCCCCAGGAUCUAAUUACCUUCCACUGGCCCCACCUCUUAAAGUCCCACCACCUUCAAUACCAUUACCCUGGGAACCAAGCUUCCAGCCCCUGAACUCCAGGCAGGGGUGGAACUUACUCAGUCAUACCCAAACUCUAGCAGGGACAUUUUCUAUUAUCUAAGUACCACAGCAAUGUUUCUGCCACCUGUUCCACCAUGACCAAACACAAGUCAACCUUGUUCCAGCUGCCAUUCUCCUCACUUGAAACAACUUGGAGCCAGUCAUGGUGGACACAGGGUGGGAUCAACAGGCUUUUGCUGUCACAUGGCAGGUCAACUGGGAGCUGGUUGAUCCCAAACAGUGACUGAUAUAACCUCAUCCACUCGGCUAGCUCAGGCUUUCUCCCACAAUAAUUGCCUUCCAAGAAGGUCCUGUGCAAGUUCCACGUGGCCAUUCAGUGUGUGGUAUCCUUCUCUGGACUGUGAGUGUAGGUGACCAAUAAACUGCUAUUGAUCUCAUCUGUCCAAGGUUGGGUGUCAUG